UUAAUAUGUCAAUUGAGUAAAUUAUUCCAAACAAAUCACUUUCAUUCUUGUACAAAACUUGCAGCACUUGAAAAAUCGAUGAUUUCUGAAUUUAAUUGAAAACGUAAUUAAAAAGUAAUAUUAUAUAAAAAUUUCGGAACAAGUACAGGUCUGCAGGUACGGUACUUCAAGGAUGCGUUGAUUUGAAAAUUGGAACUUUUCGGCUAAACUCAGUUAGCACGAUUGUUCUGCGUGACACAUUACUUUUUCGACAAUCGAGAAAACGUACAAUAUCAAUAGUUCUUUGUCUAUCAUACGCGCAACCACUGGUUCAUUCAUUGAUCCAAAUUGCCUAGUAUUAAUUUUUCGGGUAUUAUUUCGGCAACAGAAAACAUUUUUACUAUUUCAACUGCACACGAAAACCCACAAGCAGUCGCAGAACUAUCACAAAGUAGUAACACAUAUUACAUUUUUUUAUUCUUUCAGUUUGUUUAUUAUUGAAUAGAAAAAUUUAAUAUAUCUUAUUCGAUAAAUAUAAAAUUAAUUAUACCCGAACAAAAACCGAAGGCAGAGCAAUUGGUCACCGCACAGUUAACGGAAAAAAAUCUAAUAUUGAAUAUUGAAACACAAAGGUGUCGUCUUGUCGCGCGAGGACUAUAUGCGUUCUCCAGCAACAGUAAAUAAUACCACACUAACAAAAACAGAUUCGGUUAAACAUCUUGGAAUGCAUUUAAAUCGGAGACUCACGUGGGGGAUUCACACGUGUUGAAUUUUUCAAGUAUCCGUAAGUUUAUGGCCGCCACUGUAAAUUCAGCUCCGGACAUCAGGUCCGGUCUCUAAUAUCAAAAUAUUGGAAAGAUUUCAAAACAAAAUAUCCUGUGUAUAAUAACAAAUGUACUAUGGUACAUGACCACAAUAAAUUGAGGAAGGACCUCCAAAUAUUGACAAUAAAACAGGAAAUUGUCAACCACGCAAACAAAUAUUCCAACAG